rnacentral:tRNA from 1 species
GGUAAGAUGGCCGAAGUCUAGGCGGUGGGUUGUAGCUCCAUAUAUAGAGGUUCAAGUCCUCUUCUUAUCA